UACCCAGCAACUUCUAUUCCUACCUACUCGAGGCACCGGCCGGGCUGCGAGACGAUUACGUAACCAACCCCGGUGGAAACUUUGGUCGUAGGCUGACAGGGAAGG
rnacentral:ribozyme from 1 species